AUUGUGGCAUCGUUGUUUCUCCCGUGACCCCCCCGGGGGUGCGGGCUGGAUGAACCAGCGACGGAAUACCUCUGCCGAUGAGUGUGCGGUUGGUGCGGGGCCGCCGGAGUUGGUGAGGUGACUUGUCUGGUUUAUUCCUACAACAAACGCAACCACAAUGCUCUACUAUCCGGCGAGCCCCUCGCGGGUCCUCAAGAAACUGGAGCAAACCAAUCGCUCGACGGGCUCUAUCCCAAGGCAAAAGAAGCUAUGGCGAUGGCAUUUCUGUGAUGCCACUCGAUGCCCUGGAUCGCACCCCAAAUACAAUGGCGACCCAAGCGCGCAGGGUCGGCCCAGAGGACUUACAAAUCGCACGAAAAGUC
rnacentral:rRNA from 1 species